UGGUGGGGGGGAGGGGUCAGUGCUAAUGAGACAAUUCAAUUAACAGUAUAAUACCAAGGGAGGAAAAAUCACUUUUGUAGUGGUAAUGAGGGUGGCCCAUUUUCAAACAGUUGACAAGAAGGUGAGAGUAACAUUAGGGGGAAAUUAGUACAGGGAAAUUAAAUGUUGUAAUGUCCCAUCU